rnacentral:lncRNA from 1 species
UAGUCCACACACAUUCGGACUUUUCCAUCUUUCUUAGGCACGGGCACAAUAUUGGCCACCCAUUGAGGAUAUGUAGAAGUCACCAGAAACCCCGUAUCAAUUUGUCUCUAUAGUCCACACACAUUCGGACUUUUCCAUCUUUCUUAGGCACGGGCACAAUAUUGGCCACCCAUUGAGGAUAUGUAGAAGUCACCAGAAACCCCGUAUCAAUUUG